AUUCAAACACCAAAGCAAAGAUGCAUAAGCGAUCGCUGGUUUCUCUUUUCAAUUUGUUCCGGAGACACCAUUUUCAACCGUUUCCACAACCAAUAUAUGCAUUUUCUCUCGAAUCGCUCUCAUCGAUUCCGACUCGACUCGUUCCCAGUUCAAUCCAACCUCUGAACCUCAAAUUUGUUCACACUUCCACCUCAAAUCUUUACACAUACGCCCGUUCACUUUGCCAAAACCUCGACGCCUGGCCCACGACUUAUAAAACUCGGAGAAAAUACAGUACUGAGUCGGAAGACGACCCAUUUCCCGCGUUGGAUGUGAACAAAGAGGUGGACAUGAUAAAUCUCAAGUUUGCAGAAGCAAGAGAGGAGAUAGAAAUGGCAAUGGAGUCAAAAGAGACUGUGUAUUUCAACGAAGAGGCGGAGUGUGCACGAACUGCAGUGAAAGAAGUGCUGGACAUGUUUGAGGGGCUACUGGGGAAGUUGCCAGGG
rnacentral:misc_RNA from 1 species